CACAUUUACUUAAAAUGUCCAGGCUAGAAGUACUGCCCACACUACUCAACUUAGAGAUCCUUGUGACAAGACAAAGAAAGUGGAUUCAUUUGUUGUUGCUGGGCAAUUCCUUGAGCCAGUCCUUGGAUGAUAAGUAAGGCAUUUCAUUUGUUAUUUGUAAUUAAUAUUUUUGAGACUCAAAUGAGGCGUUGAACAAUACUAAAUGUUCUGUGAAGCAAGAGGAAAGCCAACAGCUUCUGACUUUUUUCUAUCCUUUCUCCCUCAUUUCAAAACAAAUAUGUUAAUAUCAUUCCAAGGUGUGUAGCAGAUGAGUGGGUAAUGUGAAACUGGAGAGAGAGUAGAGUAGCAUUAGGAAGAAGAACAUUUGUGAUUGUCAUGUGUUGAAGGACAAAGCGAGUGAGAGAGUAAGUAAUGGAGCCCAGCUCUGUAGAGGGUUUUAUAAUUUACAACAUUGUUUGUAUUUUUCUCCCAAAGUCAGAAGGAGAAAAGGCAGAGAAGCAGAUGGAGCAAAGGUCAAUGCAGAGAAAGAGACUCAAUAGAACAUCCAGUGCCUCAUCUACCUGAAACUUAUAUAUCUGGCAAUUGGAAUAAUCAGAAUCCAAAUCACUCAGAUGGACCAGAAAACCUGAGCCUGGGGCUGCACCUGACAAGUCAUCUGACUUACAGAAGAGAUCCUAAUGAUGAAAGUUUGCAGUGCUUAGCUAAAAAAGAAAAGCCCAACAAUGUGCUUGGAAAAAUCUUGGAAGUAGAAAUGCUCCUUGGCAUUAAAAAAAAAAAAAAAAAAAGAUUAAAGUGAAAAAUGCAACAGGAAGCAGAAACUUGAACAGGCCAUCCUAAGGCACUUGUCUUUGAGUGGAUUUGGGUCAGGGUCACAGAGCCAGCAGGCCAGCAUUGGGUUGUUUGAGUGAGAAGUUUUAGGCCUUUGCAAACAAGCCAUCAAAGAAGCAUGAUUCAAUGCACAGUGAAUCAUUUGAAACCUUCAGAGCUAGAGAUUAACCACCAGGAAACUGGCCCAUGUUUGCAAAAGGUGGCCCGGCCAUCCAAAGAGCAUAGAACCACAGUCUCC
rnacentral:lncRNA from 12 species